GCGAACUGCGGGGCGAACCCUGCUCCGCGCGAGAAUUUUUUUGAUGCCUUCUUAUUUGGAGAAAUCUCCAGCUGCUCUGAUGAUAGCCUAAGAAGACUGCACGCUGCUUCCUCUUGAUGCCAAGCCAGGCCCUCUCACAACCUCGGAUCUCAGUCCUUCAUGGAGACCUGGUCCCAGCAGGAAUGGCAGUGCAGGAAAUUGGCGCCCAGAUGGUUCUUCCAUGUGAAGUUGUCUCGGGCUCUGGGCUGACGAGAGAACACCUGGUAACCAGGUUAGCCCUCUGUCAGUCACCCAGGGCAGGGCAGCAUGGUGCGGAUUCAGAGGAGGAAGCUUUUGGCAUCUUGCCUGUGCGUCACAGCCACCGUCUUUCUGCUUGUCACACUCCAGGUCAUGGUUGAGCUGGGGAAGUAUGAAAGGAAGGAGUUUAAAAGUUCCAGUUUGCAAGAUGGACAUACAAAAAUGGAGGAAGCACCUACGCAUCUUAAUUCAUUUCUUAAGAAAGAAGGAUUGACCUUCAACAGGAAAAGAAAAUGGGAAUUGGACAGCUACCCCAUUAUGCUCUGGUGGUCCCCGCUGACGGGGGAGACUGGGAGGUUAGGCCAAUGUGGAGCAGAUGCUUGUUUCUUCACCAUCAACCGGACCUACCUGCAUCAUCACAUGACCAAAGCAUUCCUCUUCUAUGGGCUUACCACCCAAAAGAUGGGAGGCAGAAGAUACCCACCUGAGUUGCCCAGAGCCCACAGUGUUUGCUUUCUCACCACUCCGGACUCCACCUUUGAGCUCUUUGCGAGAGAUGUGGAUAUCCAGCUUUGAACAAUCCAAGAAAGAAGCCCAGGCACUAAGGUGGCUGGUUGAUAGGAAUCAAAACUUUUCAUCUCGAGAGUUUUGGGGCCUAGUAUUCAAGGACUGAUUUCAAAAAUGAUCAGAAUGAAACAGACUAGAGCCUUCUUGAGGUUUAUUUUCUAGGUUGCCUUAAUAUUUGAACAUAAUAGCUAUUCUGUUGACUAUCCAUCAGGAUAAUAAUUAGUUGCUGCAGUACUCAUAAUGAGCCCUUUCAAAGAAUAGAUGUAAAUUACCCUUAGGGGUUGCCACUAUAUUUUUUAUACUAAAAAAGGAAAUAUUUCUUAUGGACACUGGUUAUCUUCCAUGUCCAUGUCUGUGGACCCACAUACUUACUGCCUUUUGUGGAAAUUCACCUAGAGUGAGUACUUUUCUUGUGCAAUGGAGGGAGACGAUCUAGCUAUAGAUUCUUGAUACUCACCUCACUCUCAACAGCUUAUUGGUAUUUGGCAAACCUGGUAUCCUGCAGCCGAGCAUGAACAUGAAAUACAUUAGAACUUGGCAAUGAGAGAUCCCAUCUGUUGGUUUCCAGGGAUGUAAGUGAGUAAUAAAAGCUGUUUCAAGUUUAUCCACUAUCCACUCUUCAAGUGAAAAGAACUUAUGUGUGUCUACCUUCUUCUCCAUACCCUGAGCCACCUCUCUCACUUUCUUUAGUUGUGCCUUGCCCUAUCGCCUCCCAUUUUCCCUUCAAAGUAGAAUGUCUUGUAAAGACACAGUAACUCCUGUGUGUUUUGAUUAGUGAGAUGUUACCACUUACCCCUUCUGCUGCGCAGAAUAAUAUUAAGAAUUGCUAUGCUUAUGAUUCAGGCCGCACAGCCUGGACAUUUUGAGCAGCACGAGAGUAGAAGUGAAUACCCCCAGGAACUCCAAUUGUGCUGAAGCUGAUUUGUCUGUUCGUAGGAUGAUGUGCAGCCUGUCACAGUGGCAGCCACAGGCAUUCAGUUUGUGGGCAUUUCCUGUCAUUUCGGAUCCUGCUAUAGGGAAGGUUCAGCUCUCCUGUCUGGGGCAUGUACUGGAGCACCUCAGAAGACAAGGAGGAAAACACUGGCUCAUGUUUUCUUUCCAUGUGAGGGAGGGGAGGUUUCUAGAUGAUACUAAAAGCCUGUUGCCACUGUUGUGUCAUGAUUUCCAUUCUUCAUCAUGGAAAGCCGCAAGUCUCAGAAGGCAGCCAGAGGACAGGAAGAGUCUGUGAUGCUCAUGUCUGUGUCAUGGCAUGAGGGGGAAUUGACGAGUGCUUGCUUAGCAUCAGCUCUCAUUGUAUUGAAGGCUGUGCCCUUGGUGUGCUUAGCAGUGAGCAGCGUCUUCAUUAGGUAGCUCUGGCUGGGCUUUGUCAGCCAGCGUGUGAGAAAGGAGAACCAAAACCAAUACCUCCUUAUAGAAGCCAGAAGGAUCACAUUGGAUGAGAAAAGGUGUCUAUAUCUGGGUUCUUCCCAAUCCCAGCUCUUUCAUUAACUAAAUAUGAUCUUGGACAUAUCUCUUAACCUCCAUCGGCCUUAGUUUUUGCAUCCAAAAAGAAGUGAUUGGGCUGGUCUUGGAAGGUUUUUUUCUUUUUUUCCCCCUGUGUAACAUUCUUCCUUGUUCAUCAACAUUUAAGAAAUUUAAUUUUGUAGAUAUUUUUACUAAAGAGGGUAACAAACUAUUUUGGAACUGCUGUAUGUUAUUCAAGGGAAGCACGCUGUUUGGAGGAAGGAGCAUACUUAAUGGGUAGUAUUGAGGAUGAAAGGGAAUUUCUCUCUCUGCCAUUUUAUUUGAUAAUAUUAAAGAAAUAAAGACUGGAAAGGGGGAUUCCUUGUUGAAGGUCAGAUUUUAAAUUGCAUAUGAAAUGAAGUGAGUUGUGUUUUUUUGAACCCUCAAAAGAAAGCCUGAGAGGUGAUUUAUGCCUCUGGCAAGAUAUUAUCAUGAUAACUUCAGUUCUUCUCCAUAAAUGCCUUCAGCAAAUACCCAGUGCUUAUGUGCUGUGUGUAUGUCUUAAACCUUAACUUUCAUGAAAUCUCAUUCCAUCUUAGUUCUUCAUCAAGUCCAUAGAUAAAAUCCUCUCUAAGCGUUUCUGAAGUAUGUAUCCCUGAACAAAUUUAGUGAAAUAAAAUCAUUAAUCUGUGUUGAUCCCAUUUUGCCAUACCUUUCACUUUACCUCACUGUCUCCUUUUGUGAAAUAUUUUAAGAAAGCAACGUCCCUCACAGGACUGUUUUGAGGAAUGCCUCAUGGCUGUGAAGGAGGUUGUACAAUGCAACAUUUUGCUUAGCCCUUCAGUACAUUUUACUUGGAUUGUUUUCAAGAACUUUAUUUUUUUCGAGACGAAGUCUUGCUCUAUCACCUAGGCUGGAGUGCAGUGGUGCGAUCUCAGCUCACUGCAACCUCCACCUCCCGCAUUCAAGGGAUUCUUCUGCCUCAGCCU
rnacentral:lncRNA from 1 species